rnacentral:rRNA from 1 species
AUACGGAGGGUGCAAGCGUUAUUCGGAAUCACUGGGCGUAAAGGACGCGUAGGCGGGUUGGCAAGUCAGAUGUGAAAUCCUACAGCUUAACUGUAGAACUGCAUUUGAAACUGCUAACCUAGAGUAUGGGAGGGGGAGAUGGAAUUAGUGGUGUAGGGGUAAAAUCCGUAGAUAUCACUAGGAAUACCGAAAGCGAAGGCGAUCUCCUGGAACAUAACUGACGCUCAGGCGUGAAAGCGUGGGGAGCAAACAGGAUUAGAUACCCUAGUAGUCC